rnacentral:lncRNA from 1 species
GACCACAAUGCCGGCGGUGCGGUGCCGGGAAGGCGCAGUGGGAGAGCCUAACCCAGAACGCUGGUGACCUGGCUGUUGAGGGAGGGCGGCGUGAUCGGAGCGGAGGAACCCAAGGCAGUCGGAAAGCAAGGCUGCGGUGAAUAGCGGGCAGGUUUGUACCCCGAAAACAGCAUUUUGGAGAGGCUGAGCCUUGUCCUUAAGCCUCCUUGAUAGGCACCGGCGCGGAGAAGUGUGCACUCCAGGGAGUUAGUGCCAGUCGGUCGGUACCGGAGAGAGUCAGGGCAGAGGCAACCGACAAUGGUAGAAUUUUUUUUUUUUUUAAAUAGAAAAAGCAGCCCGGGCAAAGGGGAGGAACAGCUUAAUAAAAGGUUUGGGGAGUCGCGGGGAGGCUGGAAAAAUGUUUGCCUGCUCGUACUGUCUAUGUACCAUGCGCAUACAGUGUCUGAGGAGGCCAGAAGACAGCAUCCUAUCCCUGGAAACUGGAGUUACAGGUGUUGUGAGCUGCCAUGUGUGCUGGGACUUGAAGCAGAGAACAGCCAGUGCUAGUAAGUGCUGAACCAUCUCUUUUGUUCCCAGC